UGCACUGCUCAGCAACCGAGUACUGUCAAACACUGCGCUGUUGCCCUAGCGACGGCUAAUGGUUUCCAGGUGGGAAGGCUGGAGAUUCUCGAGGACUGACAUUUCUCAGCUAUUUAAAAUCCACUCAUCAUGUGGAUGAGCAUGCGGCUGAUUCCAAAAACAUAAAUUUGAUAAGUUUUUUUUUUUUUUCUUUUAAAAAGGAGGGAAACUAAGGAAGAGGUCAUCUAAGUGUUCCUUCAGACAGGAUGGGAGAACCAACCCGAGAGGGAGCGAGAACGGCGGUGCUCAGACUGAGAAGAGGUCAUGCUGGGGAUGACACUGUGGACACGAGCCGAGUAUUCUGGGUAAACAGAUGGAUGAUGAGAGAAAGAAGAAUGAUGAUGACAAAAGUAAAAAGGAAAAAGAAAACAAGCAACACAUGGUCCCGCCUAGGAAAAGAACAAGAAGGAUAUCUGAUGUACUUAUCUCGGGACAGUCAACCUGCUGGACUGGAGAGAACACUUCCUGUUUGAGCCUGAGUGAUGGGGACUGAUGAGGUGACAUUCAGGAAAUGAGAUCAGGACAGAGCAGCGUUUUUCUGAGAGACACUGUGUGUACAGUGCAAGGCCAGGGGCAUCAAAAUUACUCUUCAGUACGUGUUCUGUCCUGCAUUUUCUGCCACAAAAACAGUGAUUACACACAACUGGUACAAUGAAUAAUAGCUAGUAAAAUGAGCAAUAUGAUAUUCAGAAUUUAGCAAUGACCAUUAAACAAAAGCGUAGUAUUGUGUCUACUGGAUAAUGGAUUGGUUGUGGAAAUAAUAAACCAAAUGUAGUGUUUGGGUGCUUCUUGGGAGAAGUCCCAAGACAACAACAGAGUACAAAUCUUUAAAAUAAAGGAGCCACACAGACCCUAGAAAGGGAUUGCAUGAACUGUAUGUAAAAUGAGCUUCCAUGACAUAACUAUGACAAGACAGGCUGUAUUUCUCCAUCUCGUCAUGCUAUGGAAAACUAAAUAAUGGGGUUUCCUUCUUCUGCGAAGUGAAGGUAGUCAGGUAGUCACAUAUUUGACCUCAGUAGUCUGUCAAAUAGAUCUUAACGUAAACCUUAUGAAUGAAAUCAAAACAUGUUUUAACUUGUUUUCCAGCAGAAGGUUGUAUCUAGUAGUAUUAUUAAAGGGUUGCCAUGGGAAAAACCAAAGAUAAAAUCCAAUAUUCCCACAAACUGUA